UUGUAUAAAGGUUUUUUUUAUUACCUCAGGCAUCACUCUAAAUAAAUAUUAUACGGAUUUAAAAAGAACUGUCCUUAUUUUCCCACAAAGCGACUGCAAUCUAAAGGUUGUUACCCCCUUAACAUAAGGACAUCAGUGGUAAUUUUUCAGGCACACUUUUACCUCACAGUUUUAAGUAGGCAGUUCGCCAAAACUUGUAUGGUUGGUAUCCCUACGUCUAAACUAUAUUAUAAAUGUAAUAACUUUUCUCUUAACAUUAUUAAGAGUUUCGAGACUACCGCUUGUUAUCUAGUUCUCUUUUGUUUUCAUAAAACAUGGUUGAAAGUGUCAACUAAUUUUAACGCAUGUGUAUUUAUUCUUUCCACUUGCAUUUCUAUUCUUCCUUAGACAAUUAAAUUUUUUUUUUUAAAUUUCUCAACUUUUUCCUUUGUAGGUCCAUACUGUAUUGUGGCAACUCUCAGCAGCUUACAAUAGUGUGAUCGAUCUCGAUAGCUUACCCGAGUAUCGAGAUCGCGAGAGGCCUUCUCUAGGCGAAAAUAUCAUCACUACACAUUAAAUUGGUGACCCCGACGUGAUUCACUAUAUACAUAGACUCGAAAAUCUGCAUAAAUUUUGGCAACCAACGACGCCAUGGAAGACGACGCCGACGUUUUUUUACGAUCCCGUUGCUCGUGUUCCCGACGCUGCUCAGCCGCGUGGCUGUAAAAAUACCAUCGUUUUGGACCGAGUACCCCGAAUUAUGGUUGUCUCAAAUCGAAGCCCAAUUUAUUUUGGCGGGAAUAACUUCUGACGACACAAAGUUCAACACAGUUCUGCCAUCAAUCGAAGCACCAGUUUUGGCGUGAAUUUCCGACGCAGUCGUCAACCAGCCAAGCGUAGACAAAUACGAAAAUUUAAAAUCUUGCAUUCUGGAACGCUUCUGUGAAAGCGAACAGAAGAAAAUCCAGAAGUUAAGUUCGGAGACCGACCUUGGCGAUAAGCUUCCUUCACAAUUGCUUAAUGAGUUAAGCUCGCUCGCCGCAAAUAAAGUUAAGUAUCGGACGCCAGCUUAUCAGGCUUCCCUAAGUUGGCAGAUAAAGUAGUAGAUGUUGGCGAUUUUCACAAUGUACGCACGGUUGACUACAGUAAGUCUUUGCCACACCGCAACACUGGUGUUGACGACCGUUUAGAACGCAUCGAGCAACAGGUAAACGCCCUACUCAAAAACAGUUCUCGCAAGAACAGUCGGUUCACAUCAACAAGGCGCAGCGCCACAACCCAAGACGCUGGUCAAACCUCAAGCAUGUGGUACCAACCACAGAAAAUUCGGUAGCGACGCCCAGAAAUGCCGCCAACCAUGCUCUUUUUCGUCACAAACAAAAAACUAACGCAGUCUUCGGAUUCGGGAGGCAAAUUCGAAGACGGCCACUGCACAAUUGCCCGCCUCAGCAUCAGCGGCAGCUUUUCCAAAAUAAACUUUCUUAUCGACACCAGCACCGACAUUUCAGUGCGAAACCAAUACCCACUCCAAAGCUUCUUUUGGCAGCCAGUGGCUCAAAAAUACAAACCUAUCGAGAAAAGCGCAUAACAUUAUCAAUCGGACUAAGGCGAAAUUUUGUUUGGACUUUCGUGGUAGCUAACGUCAAUUGCGCUAUCAUUGGAUCCGAUUUUCUUCAAUACUUCGACUUGCUCGUUGACAUUAGGCGACGUAAACUUAUCGAUCGAGCAACGCUAUCGGAAUCGACCUGUGGCACGCCUCCGCAUAAAAUAGCUCGGAUUUUUAUCCUAUGAUGCGUGCAAUAAAUACGCCAAGCUACUUCACGAAUAUCGAGAUCUCGCAACUCGCAACGUUCGUUUACGACGACUGGCACCAGACAAACUCAAAGCAGCGCAGAGCGAGUUUUCCUAUCUUUUGGAUAAUGGAAUAUAUGUUGUCCCUCAAAGAGUAAGUGGUCAAGCCCUUUACACAUGGUAAAGAAAGCGAACGGAAACUACCGAGCUCUAAACAACGUAACAGUGCCUGAUCGAUAUCCGAUUCCGUACAUACUGGAUGUAACGAGCAUUCUAUACGGUAAGAAUAUAUUUUCUAAAAUCGACCUGCAAAAAGCAUAACCCCAGAUCCCUGUCGAUCCGCAAGAUAUUUCCAAAAUAGCCAUUAUCACGCCUUUUAGGUUAUUCGAAUUCAUGUACAUGACUUUCGGCUUGCGAAAUGCAGCGCAGACUUUUCAGCGGUCAUAAACGACGUCAUUCAGGGCCUUAAUUUUGCUUUCGCAUACAUUGAUGACAUUUUGAUCGCUUCAGAGUCCGCAGCGCAACACGAGACGCAAUUUCGCAUAGUCCUCGACCGCCUCCGACAUAACUCAUCGUGAACUUCGAGAAGUGCCAGUUCGCAAGGACGCAACUCACGUUCCUGGGUCAUGACAUCAGCCAGCACGGUUUAAAACCAUCUGAAUCUAAAGUGGAAGCCAUUCGUGCCAUUAAAAAACCGCUUAUCGGUAAGGAUCUGAAAAAGUUUCACGUGCUGCUGAUAAUCAAUCAUACUUCAGACACUGAUUCAAGGUAAUAAAAAAAACGACAAAACUGCGAUACUCUGGUCUACAGAAGCAGAUCACGCGUUCGACGCCUAAAAAAGAGAGCUCGCAAAUGCUACGUUGCUGAACUACAUGGCACCAAACUCUCAAGUAACGUUCACCACGAUGCAUUGGACGACGCUAUGGGUGCAGUGUUACAUCAGAUUGUCAACGGACAAGCACAGCCACUGGGUUUCUUCUCCAAGAAAUUUUCAUCGGCGCAAAAGAAGUACAGAACCUACGAUAGAGAGCUCACCGCUAUAUAUCAGGCCUCUGCAUUUCAAGUACGCACUGGAGGGCAAAAAUUUUGUAAUCAUCACCGACCAUAAACCGCUGAUGUUCGUUUUCAUUCAAAACAGUGAGAAAGCAUCAUCACAACGCCCCCGGCAGCUGGAUUUUAUUAGCCAAUUCAGCCACCAACAAUCAGCACAUCUCGGGAGAGGAAAACAACGUCGCUGACCUUCUCUCACGCAUCGACGCCAUCAAACACAUAGAUUUUUGGCACUAGAAAAGGAAAGCGAAAUCAGCCAUAUCACUAACGAAAUUGUUUAUUCCAGGCUCAAACAAACAAUUGUACUGCCACGUGGUAGUCCAAGGCCUGCACUCGCUAUGCCAUCCAGGAGUUAAGGCAACGAACAAAUUGGUUAGCAAGCACUACGUUUGGCCUCGCAUGGUAUCCCGUGUCAAAAAGCCAAAGUCCAGCGCCACACCAUAUCGCCGCUUGGAGAAUAUGCAAACACGUCUUAGUCAGAGUUGAUCGAGUUAAAACUCUGUUAGAACCUAACUACGAGGGUCCGUUUGAAGUAAUAGCGAAACACGACAAAUAAACCAGCAUACAUCUUCAAAGAGGAACCUCUCCGAAUACAAGAACCUUUCGCUCAACCUGCCACGCAGGUAUCGAGAUCUGGACGACGAGUCAUACUCCCAGCGAGAUACCUUUUCCAACUGGUACUCUAGGAGGGGGGUACUGUGGCAACUCUCAGCAGCUUACAAUAGUGUGAUCGAUUUCGAUAGCUUACACGCGUAUCGAGAUCGCGAGAGGCCUUCUCAUCACUAUUCUCGACGACCACGGCAUCCUUCGCUCCUUCUUAGCUUUUGCCUCUCACACGCACCCAUUUGUUAUAAUCAGUCUAUGUAACCUCGUGAAUAAAUAGUAAAACUUAUUUCUGUGUACGAUACACAUAAAAGUAUUAAUAA